CGGGGGGGGCAAGCGUUGUUCGGAAUUACUGGGCGUAAAGGGCUUGUAGGUGGCCAACUAAGUCAAACGUGGAAUCCCUCAGCUUAACUGGGGAACUGCGUCUGAUACUGGAUGGCUUGAGUUUGGGAGAGGGAUGCGGAAUUCCAGGUGUAGCGGUGAAAUGCGUAGAUAUCUGGAGGAACACCGGUGGCGAAGGCGGCAUCCUGGACCAAUACUGACACUGAAAAGCGAAAGCCAGGGGAGCAAACGGGAUUAGAUACCCCGGUAGUCCUGGCCCUAAACGAUGAAUGCUUGGUGUGGCGGGUAUCGAUCCCUGCCGUGCCGAAGCUAACGCAUUAAGCAUUCCGCCUGGGGAGUACGGUCGCAAGGCUG
rnacentral:rRNA from 1 species